rnacentral:rRNA from 1 species
UACGAAGGGGGCUAGCGUUGCUCGGAAUUACUGGGCGUAAAGCGCACGUAGGCGGCUUUGUAAGUUAGAGGUGAAAGCCCAGGGCUUAACUCUGGAAUUGCCUUUAAGACUGCAUCGCUAGAAUCGUGGAGAGGUGAGUGGAAUUCCGAGUGUAGAGGUGAAAUUCGUAGAUAUUCGGAAGAACACCAGUGGCGAAGGCGACUCACUGGACACGUAUUGACGCUGAGGUGCGAAAGCGUGGGGAGCAAACAGGG